CCCACCUGAGGGAAUUAAAGUUUUAUGUAAUCUUUCCACAAACAAAAAAAAGUGGGUCCCCCAACUCUGUGUUUGAACCAAUAGAAAAGCUGGUGCUCAGAGGAAGAGGGCGGGCUUUACUUGGUGUCAGUGAGAGAAAUGAAAAAAAGCUCAAAUGAGUGAGAAGGACGAUGAAGGAAACAUCUGUGCUGUGUCUGCUCUUUCUGAUCUCACUGCUGAGCUGCACAACAAACCAAGGUCAGUAACCUUCUUCUGUCACAGUUUAAACCUGAUAAAUGCUCACUGAUAGGACCUGAUUGGGUUCAUGUUUCAGAAUGGAGCUCAGUUCUGAAAAAAAAAAAAAAAAAAAAAAA